UACGUAGGGUGCAAGCGUUAAUCGGAAUUACUGAGCGUAAAGCGUGCGCAGGCGGUCCGUUAAGACAGAUGUGAAAUCCCCGGGCUUAACCUGGGAACUGCAUUUGUGACUGGCGGACUCGAGUAUGGCAGAGGGGGGGUAGAAUUCCACGUGUAGCAGUGAAAUGCGUAGAGAUGUGGAGGAAUACCCGAUGGCGAAGGCAGCCCCCUGGGCCAAUACUGACGCUCAUGCA
rnacentral:rRNA from 1 species